UUUGUGGAGAGUUUGAUCUUGGCUCAGAGUGAACGCUGGCGGCGUGCCUCAUACAUGCAAGUUGAGCGAGGUUCUACAGAGUAUCGUAGAAUCUAGCGGCAAACGGGUGAGUAACACGUAAGAAAUCUCCCUCAAAAUGGGGAAUAUCUCCGAGAAAUCGGAGUUAAUACCGCAUAAGACCACAGUUUGGCAUCAAACAGAGGUUAAAGCAGUAAUGCGUUUUGAGAUGAUCUUGCGGCCUAUCAGCUAGUUGGUAAGGUAAUGGCUUACCAAGGCUAUGACGGGUAUCCGUCCUGAAAGGGUGAACGGACACACUGGAACUGAGAUACGGUCCAGACUCCUACGGGAGGCAGCAGUAAGGAAUUUUGGACAAUGGGGGAAACCCUGAUCCAGCGACGCCGCGUGGAGGACGAAGGCUUUCGAGUUGUAAACUCCUUUUAGAGGGGAAGAAAUAAAUGACGGUACCCUCAGAAAAAGCCACGGCUAACUACGUGCCAGCAGCCGCGGUAAUACGUAGGUGGCGAGCGUUACUCGGAAUUACU
rnacentral:rRNA from 1 species